rfam:Aedes aegypti strain Liverpool supercont1.883 genomic scaffold, whole genome shotgun sequence.
CAAUCGGUCCUUUUCAGGGCCACCAAGAGUUUGCAUUUGAGUUGUU